AACAAGGAUAAAAUGUAAAUGUUACAAUAUAACAACAAUAAUUUGCAACAUGUCCGGUGACGGGAUCGACUACCUUGAAUGUUGUUGGUAUUUCAUGUUAGGACGACAUCAUCGAGAUAUCAGUUGUGUCAACACGACACUUCGUUUGGCUGAUCAAGCAAUCAGCACGCGUGGAAUGCCAACAGUUCCGGAGGACACCACAAUUAAAGAAAACAGCACGCGUAGAAUGCCACCUGUUACAGAGCACACCACCAUUAAAG